GCCCAGAUGGCGGAAUUGGUAGACGCACUAAAUUGGUAGACGCACUAGGUUCAGGUCCUAGCGGUGGCAACACUGUGGAGGUUCGAGUCCUCUUCUGGGCA
rnacentral:tRNA from 1 species